UGCCUGGCAUCAACAGGAUUCACGCUGUCACUGCUCUCGAUCACUUUCCAUCUCACUUCAGGGCUGGACUCCGUCCCCGCGACUUCUUUUCCCUUGCUUCCUGGCCACAGGUCCAUGGGGCUCAUGGAUGGAGAAGUUUGCUGGGCUGUGGGGGUCCCUGAAGAACUAGCUCAGCAUGUGAAUGACUGGGACGUAUGUGGGGGCCUGACUGUGGGUUGGAGUGUCCAGGAGGACCCCAGGGAAGGGAAUAGGGGGAUUAGGGAUAGAGGAGGGAGGGGUUACCAAGGUGCAUUGUGGGAAUGUGGGAUUUAGAGAGCCCAGAGUGGAUGGGUGUUGGCGGUUGGACGACCCCACAGUGGUUGAAAAGGGGAACCUGGCAGGUUUGGGUGUAGCAGAGAUUGAAGAUGAGGAACCUCACACCCUGGGGAUGAUCUGGGGGAGUGGGAGGAUGGGAAAGUGGGGCCCAGCAAUGAGAAAUGGGUUGGAGGCAAUUAGGGGUGGGGC